UUGCCAUGAUGUGGGCAUUUCCUUAGUAAUUCCUUGUACCUUUCCCAAGCAUUAGGAACUACUUCAUCAUCUAUUUGUCUAAAGUGAAAAUUUUCAUUUCUGAACUU